rnacentral:rRNA from 1 species
GCGUAAAGGGCAAGUAGGUGGUAAUAAACUUAAAAAAUGAAAGACUAGAUACUAAUCUUUUAUGUUUUUUAAAAAAAUUACUUGAAUAUCAUACGCGGGAUUCGUACGAAAUAUGAAGCGGUAAAAUGUAAAGAAAUAUAGGGACGGACAUUGGUGAAAGCAAAGACCGGGUAGAUUAUUAACGCUGAGAGACGAAAGACGGGGAGCAAAGAAGAUUAGAGACCUUCGUAGUCCGUGCUGUCAACGCUGAGUUUUCAAUGUAGAAUUAUUUAGAAUAAAUUUAGCGUUUAAGCAAACGCAUUAAAUUUCCGCCUGGGAAGUACGAUCGCAAGAUUGAAAUCAAAAGAAUUGACGGUGACUUGUACAAAG